UUCAGAAUCGGGUGGGGCGGCCGUUGGUGCCCACUGAGCAUGCGCUCACGGCGGAGCGUCUCGAGGCGGAGGUAGUCCGUGAGUAAUGUGCAGAGGGAAAGUUCACUCUACUUUUCUCAGCGUGGGAGGAGACUUGGGCUGAGAGAAAGGCGAUGGCCUGGGUCGGGAGUGGAGUCUCUGGGGAAGGAGUGCAAGGGAAGGGGAGAGGGGUUGUUUCCCUCUAGUCUUUUUCCUCAAAGGGGUAAAAAAAAAGUGGCCACUUGAGUUGGGGAGGAAGAGAUCAGCCAGAUUGGGGGAAGACAGUGGGGAAAAAAGGCGGGAAGAAGACUUCCAACCUCCUCCUAGACAGCGUGCCUCGAUAGCCUCAGCGGUUUUCCCGCCCUCACUUACCCCCCGCUGGGAAGAUUUGUUUCUCAAGACUCCCCCCCACACUCGUCCUCCCCCAGCAAACUGCCUUCCCCCCCCCCCCCCCAGUCCCUCCUUACUAGCCCCUGUCAGAUUGGGAAGGAGACGCCGUGGGAGAAGGAAAAGGCUUGCGAUCCUGCUCUGGGUGAGCUCACACCGGGAAGGACGAGCCUCUUAGACGUCGGAGCUCUCCGAAGGGGCCGACGCGGGAUAUGGCCACCUGUCCCUCGCGGAGCUGGCCCUCAGGCCUCGAGGACGGACCAUCGUCGUCCGGUGUCCUUUUUGGUGGAAGGAAGGGGCAGAACACAGGCUGCCGUUGCAGGAGAAUAAUUCCACAUUUAUCAUGCUGUGCAAGAAAAAUCAGAUGAAAAAGGAAAAUGAGAAAAAAAAAACAUGUGAACAAACAACACAGGUGAAAAUAAUAUGUUGUAUUCCAUACUCAGCUCCACAGUCCUCUCUCUGGGUGUAGAUGGCUCUCUCCAUCACAUCUAUUGGAAUUAACCUGAAUUACCUCAUUGUGGAAAAGAGCCAAGUCCAUCACAGUAGAUCAUCGAAUUACUGCAUACAAUGUUCUCCUAGAUCUGCUCAUUUCACUCAGCAUCCGUUCAUAUACUGUAAGAGCAGACCAGCAGUUUUGAAAAUAUCACAUUCCCUAGAAGAACCAAGAGAACAUUGUACACAGUAACAAGAUUAUGUGGUGAUCAACUGUGAUGAACUUAGCUCUUUUCAACAAUGAGAUGAUUCAAGAUCUGGGAUCAAUAUGUAUACUUGAGAAAGACAGCCUGAACAUUGAAUUGGAAGUCUACUUCAUCAUCUGCCUGGGGUUGGAAAAUGCAUCACAUCCUUCAGAGAAAGAAACUUACCUUUCGAGGAGGCUAGUAACAUGUCUCUCUGAAAUUGGGCCCAAGUACUGCCUUCCAUUUCCUCAACUAGUCAACAUUUUUCUCCUCACCCUUAACAAUAUUCCCAAGUAAUAAAAAAAAGCUGUUAUCUCCAUACUACCAGUGAGAUGGAUGACCAACCUUGACUGCUUGCUGUGGCAGUUUUAGCUGUGGCCUAAGUUGGGCACAGUGGAAGAUGAAUUGGCACAAAACUUACAUAACUGCAGUGAUAUGGAACAAUGUGGAGCCAGCAGAAUGGGACACAGACUGUUACUAUUGUGAGAGAAUCCUUUGGCUGGGACUGGACAGGCAUGGUAGUUCCUAUGAAAGUUGAGCUGCUGGUGAGAUCGUGCCAAGAAGACUGAUCCCAAACCUCAGUCCUUUUCUCCUGUUUCCUCCUCUGGUUGGUUGUUCAUAGAGUUGAUAUCAGCAAGUUCCAGAGACAGUUCUUUCCUUUAUUCUUUGCCUUGUGUAUAAGUUGGAAGGAGGUUUGGGGGAAGACUCAAGGGAAGCAGUUUCUUUACAACUGUGCUAUGUGAUAGCUUCUUUACUGUGUUUUAAUAAACCAUGUGGCUGCUGAAAA